rnacentral:misc_RNA from 1 species
UCUACUUGUUUUACGAUUGAUUCUAUUGCACUCUUCAUAGAAGAGUAGUCGCACUAAUGGACGCGAUCACCGAAUUGCUGAAAAACAUAGACCCAAGCCGUAUCGACGAGGCGCUGGCUCUGCUGCAAAGCCUCAAAAGCAACGCGGCACCACAGCAGCCGAGCAAUAGCCACGUGCCUGCAAGCAGCAGCUCAGAGGCUUGCCGCAGCUCUCCAGAGCCUGAACCGCAGCAGCUGGCGGAAAAUGGAGGACAAAUCACCGAGCUUCUUACCGAGUCAUGGGCAGAGGGGGCGAGCGGUACGGCGGAGGAGGAGAACGACAUGCCACUUGCUUCCUUUGGACACUUACUCUCACCUGAGAAGAAAAAAAAAGCUCGCGAUGACCGUAGGGCUGAGCGGGAGGCGGAGAAGGAGGCGCGUCGGAGGAUGAAGGAAGAGGACGCGGCCUUAAUUAAGUCAGAGCUUGACGCGCGUAAAGUCAUCUGCGAUGAGGAAAAGGAGAGUCGUCGCAUCUUGAAGGACACGGAGCGCGACGCACGAAAGGCAGAGAGGGAGGCGGAGAGGGAAGCGAGAAACAAAGCGCGCGAGGCAGAGAAGGCGGCUCUUAAAGUGCCGAAGGAGGCCCCGAACAGCCUCACUCUUUUCGGUUUCCUGAGCAGCACUGUCAAGGCGGAGAGCAACAAAAACAGGCUAUUCUCUCCCUUUGUCCAAGACAAGCGCGUUGCUCCUGCUGCACUGCAGUUUUGGAGGAGGCCGGAGGACAAAAUUUCGCGCAAUGAGGAGACCUCGGUGGUGAAUCUCUCCUCUCACGCGAUGAACGGCGGCGCGCGGCGAGACCCAGGGAAGAGCAAGAGUCACAUGGUGGACGAAGAGUCCUCUCUGCUGCACCCGCCCAUGUACUGCGAUGGAGGCGCGCCUUCGAAGGCGAAGGUGUGUGUGCGCGACUUCAACGCCAUGAUUGAGGCUUCCAACGCGCAGGAGGUGCCAGUGCGCGACCUCCUGCGUCAGUGCGGCUGCGCUUUCCACGCGGCCGUUUCCGACCCAUACGCGUCUUUUGACAACGAGGUUGUGUUUGUUGGUUUCUUCGCCAUCGGGUACGAUCCGUGCCAGUCUCGCCCGCCCUACUUCGGCACCUACAACCAUCUGCAGGAGGGUAACUUGAACGAAGCGGAGCUGCUGCAGAUGGGCCGGUUUCCGCUGCGGUGCGGCAUUCCUCGCUUGUCGAACAUCGAUUACGAGUACGACUCGGGCGAUGACUGGGACGUUAUGGAGGGCGAUGAGGAUAUCGCCGCCUCCUCUUCGAGCGACUCGGACAAGGACACCGCGUUGGACUCUCUCGACAGCAGCGACUUAGAGUUCAUCGACGACUCCGACUCCGACUGCGACACCCAGCGCAAGAUUAUGGAGGCGCGACAGCGUCGCCUGCAUCGGCUGCGCAACAAGAGCAAGCUUGUGCCGUCCUACAGUGGACCGUUUGUCGGCAUUCCUACCGAUGAACACCCACUUCGAGGCUUUGACGAGCUGGAGCGCUUUGCCCCUCUGAAUGCGGCGUACUUCUCUCAGCUCUUGGAGAAGGAGCUGAACGCGUUCACUAGCGGGAGUGCCGGCAUCCCCGCAAGUGAAGACGAGGGCCUGAGCGCAGAGGAGAUGGAGGCAAAGCGGCAGCGCGCCUUGAUGGAGGCCGCGCUGAAGAACCGACGCGAAAUGACAGACACGGAGCUCAAGGCGCUGCACACCAUCGUUGCAUCAAACAGCAAAGUCUCGACAAAGAUGAUACUCGCUGCCUUCAAGCAGCAGCAGCUCUGCGUCGGGGUCGCAAGGGCUGAGAUUGAGCGUACCAUCAGGCGCUUUUACGAGCGCCGUCACCGUUCGCUCGUUCUGCGGGGUGAGCCAUGGUCUCCGACUGAUGAGCGACUCUUUGCACGCGUUUCCUCCUCGAAGAAGCCGAAGUCACCGGGAGACGGAGGCACAGGUGUCGUGACAGGCGACGGGGAGGGCAGAAACAGCGACGAAAACGAGGAUGCGGAUGAUGGCACCGAUAUCGAUGACGUCGCGGAGACCACUGUUGAACGUGCUGCUGAGAUCGCUGAUGACGCUUUUGCCAAGGCAAGCGAAGUGGGCGAUAGGACUGCGUCAGCGCCUGUGACACCGUCGGAGACUGUCGAAGAGGCGGGACACCCAAAGCCGUCGCCGCAUAGUUCGGGCGAGGCGAAGGUGGAGACUUGGCUCGCUAAGACAACGCAGAUUACUCUCACGAAGCUUUCGCCGAAAGAAAGCGCUUCGGCCUCCUUCAACAUGGCGAAGCGGCCGCGCGAGGAAGAACAGGCGGAGGAUCAAAACGACAGCGCCACCACUGCUACCAGCGAUUGAGUGAAGAAGAGAAGUGACGUGUGCCGGCGGCCACAACGUAGCCGGCGUAUGUGAGCCACUCUUGCGUGAAAUGCCCAAUGGCUGAUGGACAAGCCGAGCGGCAUUAUUGUCUUUGCCAGGUCAUGCUUUGAACAGUCCUGAUGAUACGGUCUCCUGGCGUCCUGUGUGGAGGACUGCCGUCGUCGACGUUGUGCUUUUCCUGCCGUGUAUUUGCUCAUAGAAGAAGCUCUAAACACAUCCAAAAGGGCGAAAAGAUUCACACGUGUGCGCAAUUGGAAGCGCGCAUGUUGCGUACGGUCGAAAACCGUUUCUCUCGCCGCUGCAACGAUGCACAACAGCUCUCUUUCAGAGGUGCACCGUCGUAUUUCCACGGUGAGGCGAUGCUUCUCUCCCCUGGAACGGGUUGUCGCACUGCACUGCUGAUGCGGAGAGCAGAAACGCUGCACUUCUUUAGAUCUUCGCUGCGCAUCGAUCCCGUCCCGUUCCUGCUUCAGUGCUCUCUCUCCUCUCUCUUUUUGCUGCCAUGCUUCAAACCUCAACACCGCACACACUUCCACACAACGCACAG